UACGGGGGGGGCAAGCGUUGUUCGGAAUUACUGGGCGUAAAGGGCUCGUAGGUGGCCAACUAAGUCAGACGUGAAAUCCCCGGGCUUAACCUGGGAACUGCGCUUGUUACUGGCAAGCUUGAGUGUGGCAGAGGGGGGUGGAAUUCCACGUGUAGCAGUGAAAUGCGUAGAGAUGUGGAGGAACACCGAUGGCGAAGGCAGCCCCCUGGGCUAACACUGACGCUCAUGCACGAAAGCGUGGGGAGCAAACAGG
rnacentral:rRNA from 1 species